rnacentral:lncRNA from 1 species
CGGGGAGCGGGCCGAGCCCCGGGAGGCCGCUUCGCACCUCCCAGUGUGUCCGGGUUGAGCGCGAGGUCAGGAGGGGACGCAGAGUUCACGGCGAAGACGGAUCGCGGGGGCUCGUCCCGCCCGGGUUGCGCGCAGCGGGGGCCGCGUGAUGGAUGGGCCGGGCCGGGCACCCGGGAACCCGCGAGCGCGGGGCUGGGCUCUGGGCUGCGUCCGGGGGCCCCGACUUGGUUAUUGAUCGGCCCAAGCGCAGGAGAACUGACUCUAUAAUGCAUCGCCUGACCAGGAAAAGUGUUUGCUUUUGUGGGAGCAAAAGACAACUUUCUGCCCCGCCAGAGCGUUGCUAAGUGAGCGGUAAUGACCACGCUAGAAAUUUCAUAGGGAGAGGCUAAUGGCAGGCUGACUCUAAAAGUGCUUUUAAGUGCAACUUCUGUCUAAUCCCUUGAGGGGGAAGAAAACAUCGGCGACUAAGAAAGUUCAAGUUGUACAGGACCCGGGUUUUUGGGGUCGGGGUCACUUCUGCUCUGCGUGACUUUGAAGAGGAAGACCUGCGGUUUUUUCCAGUGGAUUUUCACACGUGUUUUAAAGAGAACUCCCGGCUCCUGAAAUGAAAGGCCCGCCUGUAGGGUUUUGCUGCCUCCCCUCUGCCCACGCCCCACCCCCACAGCCUGGAUCAAAGCGAUCAGACAAAUUAUUCAGAAGUAACACAGCCCUGAAAUGUUCCUAAACGUGACUAUUUGAGGCGAUGAAUCAAGCGUGUUCCCUCCGCCCCCAACCCACCCCCAGACCGAAAAUGUGACUCUGGAAACGGACUUGCAGAGCUGGCUUCGGUUUAUAUGCGGUUCUGACCCCUGUUGACUUUAGGACAAGCCUUCCUGUUUCCAGUACUGCAGCAUCGCCAGACAGCCUCGCCAUGCAAUCGGCUUUCCAGAUACGAUUUCACUCCUCACCAAAGACACUUCUUUAGGGCGAUUUUAGGAUUCUAUCAACGCUAGUAAAGGAACUACUUAAACACGUUGAUUUGUAUCGCCUUCCCUGACUAUGAAACAUUGAAGGUAGGUAGUUAAAGCGUGCUCUAAGGAGUACUUUUCUUCAGUUGUAAAGAGAGAAAGAGAGAAAAUUAUUUUAGGUUAAAAAUUUCCACAGAGAGGUUUACAGAGGGGAGCUGCUGGUGCCCUGACGACUUUGGGGCCUGGGUCAGGGCUGAAGCUUUGAAGCUGCCUGGCUCCUGACCCCUUUCCUGCCCCUGAAAGCAUCUCCUGGGAAGUUGAAGAGGGACUCUCAGGGCUGCUGUGGUCAGGCCUGAGGCUGCCCUCUGAGUCUCCUGGGCAGAAGGGCUUUUUGCCAAGAGCACGUCUAGGCGAGCAUGGUGCUAGGCACUGUUGCCAGG